rnacentral:rRNA from 1 species
GAUGAACGCUGGCGGCGUGCCUAAUACAUGCAAGUCGAGCGAACAGAUGAGGAGCUUGCUCCUCUGACGUUAGCGGCGGACGGGUGAGUAACACGUGGAUAACCUACCUAUAAGACUGGGAUAACUUCGGGAAACCGGAGCUAAUACCGGAUAAUAUAUUGAACCGCAUGGUUCAAUAGUGAAAGACGGCUUUGCUGUCACUUAUAGAUGGAUCCGCGCCGCAUUAGCUAGUUGGUAAGGUAACGGCUUACCAAGGCAACGAUGCGUAGCCGACCUGAGAGGGUGAUCGGCCACACUGGAACUGAGACACGGUCCAGACUCCUACGGGAGGCAGCAGUAGGGAAUCUUCCGCAAUGGGCGAAAGCCUGACGGAGCAACACCGCGUGAGUGAUGAAGGUCUUCGGAUCGUAAAACUCUGUUAUUAGGGAAGAACAAAUGUGUAAGUAACUAUGCACGUCUUGACGGUACCUAAUCAGAAAGCCACGGCUAACUACGUG